rnacentral:lncRNA from 1 species
CGUGCACAUAGGGUACACGGAGGCACUCACGAAUUUGCGCAUGAUGGGACGCAUAAACACACAUCCCAUCGUGCACGAACAGGGCUAGGCAACGUGCACUGUUCGUGCGUGCCAUGUGUGUAGUAGGCCUGCACGGAUAGGCCUGUGCGCUAAGGGCAUGCACACAGUAGGCCUGUGUGAAGUGCUCUAUAUGUUGUAGGCCCUG